rnacentral:lncRNA from 10 species
AAUCAUUGAGAUUAUAUCAUUAUGUUAUCACUGAGAAGUAAUUUAAUUCUAUUAUAUAUGCAGACUUUCUAAAGAAGAUAAAGCUUUUUUAUGGGAGAAACGUUAUUAUUGCUUCAAACACCCAAAUUGUCUUCCUAAAAUAUUAGCAAGCGCCCCAAACUGGAAAUGGGUUAAUCUUGCCAAAACUUACUCAUUGCUUCACCAGUGGCCUGCAUUGUACCCACUAAUUGCAUUGGAACUUCUUGAUUCAAAAUUUGCUGAUCAGGAAGUAAGAUCCCUAGCUGUGACCUGGAUUGAGGCCAUUAGUGAUGAUGAGCUAACAGAUCUUCUUCCACAGUUUGUACAAGUGAGUUUUUUACUAGAUUACCUCCCUUUAUACUUUCACUCUAGUUUUUUAUGGGAACUUGCUAAGGGAUCCCCAUUCUGUUUAGAUUAAAAGUCGUUUUUUAGUGUGGGAACAUUGAGGGGCAUUGCAUUUGGAUUUAGUGUGAAUUUUUUCCCCACUAUUGUCAUCUGCCCCAUUUGAAUAUUGUAUAUAGGCACCUGUAUUUUUAGUUUUCAGACUUUUUAGAACAAACCAGACUUGAGCUUUUCCUUGAUUUUUCUUUACUGGUGAGUUCAACAUAGCUAAUGAAUGUUACUCUAUACUUUUGUGUUUGAUUUAAAUUAGUUUGGCAUAGGUUAAUUCAUCUAUUUAAUUUUUAUAAGUAUCAUCUUUCAUCAGUAAGAGUAAUACUUGCUUUAUAUAGUUUCUCUUUUGAUAGUUUUAUUGGAACAAUUUAGUAUGGGUUAGACCACUAAUAAUUCUUAUUUUCUUUUACUGUAGGCUUUGAAAUAUGAAAUUUACUUGAAUAGUUCAUUAGUGCAAUUCCUUUUGUCCAGGGCAUUGGGAAAUAUCCAGAUAGCACACAAUUUAUAUUGGUAAGAUUUAAAUUUUAUUGAUUACCGUAUUUCCAUUCCUAGAAUUUAUAGAAAUGGCAUACCCUGUAAGUCUAAAUGGUAUGCCACACUACUUAUUGUGGAUACAAGAUAUUUUAUUGAAGGUAUUAUUUUAAAGGAGCUAAAUUUACCCUCUAAUGCAAAAAUUUGAAAACCCUCAUUGCAAAAAUUUGGUGUCUUAUAGCUCUGUAAUAAUGAAUGGGUUUCGACUUGCUUAUAUAGCUUAAAAUACAUUUCUGGUUAUCAAAAAUUGAGGCCAAGCGUGGUGGCUCAUGCUUGUAAUCCCAGCACUUUGGGAGGCUGAAGCUAGUGGAUCGCUUGAUCUCAGGAGUUUAAGACCAGCCUAACAAUCAUGGUGAAACCUCAUCUCUACC